rnacentral:rRNA from 1 species
UACGUAGGGCGCAAGCGUUAUCCGGAAUUAUUGGGCGUAAAGGGCUCGUAGGCGGUUUGUCGCGUCGGGAGUGAAAUCCACUGGCUUAACUGGUGGCUUGCUUUCGAUACGGGCAGACUGGAGGUAUGCAGGGGAGAACGGAAUUCCUGGUGUAGCGGUGAAAUGCGCAGAUAUUCGGAGGAAUACCAAUGGCGUAGGCAGCUAACUGGGCAAGUAUUGACGCUGAGGCACGAAAGCGUGGGGAGCAAACAGG